CUGAAUUUACUCAGUGACAAUCGAUUGUCAAGACCAAACAAUCAAUUAUCUGCCAGUCAGAUAAAAAAUCAAUCCCAGAUUUUACGCUUAAUAAUCGAUUACUCACAAUCCAUAAUCGAUUUCUGGCAAAAUUCAAAUUCAGAUAAUCGAUUAUACCGAAUCCAUAAUCGAUUACUUCAGCAACGUUCCAAAAAUCAUUUACAGAUUUUAAUCAAAAACAUCUAUUAUAGCAAAUCAAUAAUCGAUUACCUCAUUAACGUUUUAAAAUUUAUUUCCGGAUUUUGAGGUAUUUGAAAAUCAUUUGACAACGGUCAGCUUCAACAAUCGAUUGUCCCUUGCAACAAUCGAUUACUUGUCAUUUUCUGAAAAUCUCAAAUCANNN
rnacentral:lncRNA from 1 species